CUAAUACAGAAAGCUUCGCCAAGAGUGUCGCCAAGCCUUUUGUUUUCUUUAAUACCUUCGCAUACUCUUUGAAUUCACUUACAAUUUCAGGGCGAUAAAGCUUCAGUUUUGGAUGAUGCCAUCGCAUAUAUCAAAGCCUUAAAGAUGCAAAAUGAAGCUCUGGGAUUUUCCAUGAUGGGUGAAGGAGGCACAUGGCAAGCCACCGCAAUGAGUCAGACUGGAAGUAAUGGAUCUGUAACGCCGAGUGGACAAUAUGUGUCCGUUAGCGCCGGGGUUUCUGUGCCACCGCCACUACAUUCGUCAUCAGCCGACAAUAUCCAGUUUUCACCAACGGUGGAAGAGGGGCAAGUAUUUCCAGUCCCUCAAUUGCCGUUCAUUACGUUCCCCACCUCCACUUCUGCUGCGGUUCCCAGUUUUAAUAAUAGCUUCUGCCCAUUCAGUCUUCCAGACCAACAACACUUUGGCUUCUCAAACAGUCGAAAACUAAGAGCACCUAUUUCCCAGAAUAGUUAAAUCAGGUCAGAUCAAUCAAUCGAACGAGUUAACUCAUGGGAUUCGAGUCAUUUAAGUUUGGUUCGUACCGAGUUGAAUGUAAAUUUGGACGAGCAGUAUAUUAGAAUCAGAGUGUGGAAGCUGUUAAAUAUAAAUGUAAUUAUAUAGCUAGUUAGUUUAUUUAUUUAUAGUUAGUUUGUUUAUG